GGACAGGAGACCUGGGAGCCAUCAGUUCUUCAUCUGUCCAAACGCGGUACRGAUCUGAUCAAUAAAGCGAUGUCCCAACUGAAGCAAGAACAGACAUGCCAGGGCUGCUUGGUGUGCUGUCAUGAAUUUUAUAUUUGAUGAAAGUGGAAUAAAGUCCAAUGAGACUGCUCGUCAGUGUUAUGGAUUACCUKAUGGCAUAUUCCAGAGGUGCACUGAGUUUAUUUGAAGGAAACGGUAAUAAAAGUCGAGCUCAGGAUGUGAAA